GGGGAUUUAGCUCAGCAGCAUAAAGCGCCUGCCUGGCAAGCACGAGGUCGUGAGUUCAAUCCCUA
rfam:Cavia porcellus supercont2_0 genomic scaffold, whole genome shotgun sequence.